rnacentral:rRNA from 1 species
AGUGAACGCUGGCGGUAGGCCUAACACAUGCAAGUCGAACGGCAGCACAGUAAGAGCUUGCUCUUACGGGUGGCGAGUGGCGGACGGGUGAGGAAUACAUCGGAAUCUACUUUUUCGUGGGGGAUAACGUAGGGAAACUUACGCUAAUACCGCAUACGACCUACGGGUGAAAGCAGGGGAUCUUCGGACCUUGCGCGAUUGAAUGAGCCGAUGUCGGAUUGGCUAGUUGGCGGGGUAAAGGCCCACCAAGGCGACGAUCCGUAGCCGGUCUGAGAGGAUGAUCGGCCACCCUGGAACUGAGACACGGUCCAGACUCCUACGGGAGGCAGCAGUGGGGAAUAUUGGACAAUGGGCGCAAGCCUGAUCCAGCCAUACCGCGUGGGUGAAGAAGGCCUUCGGGUUGUAAAGCCCUUUUGUUGGGAAAGAAAAGCAGCAGGUUAAUACCCCGCUGUUCUGACGGUACCCAAAGAAUAAGCACCGGCUAACUUCGUG